AUGAGAGAGACCAAGCUCAGCGUGAGGCCAGAUGGAAACUACCACCCUGCUGCUCAAGACUUCCCUGGAUGUCAUUCCCUCCUCUCUCUGAAAUGCCAGCUCCGUCCCCGGGCUCUAACAGCGUUACUGAAACCUCCCCAGUGUUGCCAGAAUGUGCUGGAGGAGCCAGAUGAGCUGUCAACGAGUAGGUAUCAGGCAAACAGCCUUUGCACGGGGCAGUUGCACUUUUUUGGACAAGGAGGGCAGGCUGCGUGGAGGGCAGAGUCAGUGGCUGCUGUGAGGGCUGCAGGGGAGCUACGUGGGCUCUGCCCAGUCUUGCAACAGGGACCACGCACCGUGCCAAAGCCUUGUGUGCACAUGGGAAGGACUGCAGGUAUGAAAAGAACGUAGAGAUGUGGAGAAAAAAAAAAAAAAAGAAUUUAGGGAGCAGGAAUGCUGCAGACAUCCAACAACCCGUGGAAUCGAGGAGCUAGCCCUGGCUCGGUCCUGCAGGAUGCCCAGUCCCCAAGGACUGAGGUAGCAGCCAAGGCCGUGGCUGCUCCCCAGGGCCUCUCCCCGCCCCCUGAGCUCACUUGGGUGUCUUCAGCCCAGGAUCUCCCAGGGAGAAAUUUGGGGCCUUGCUCAGGAACAGAUGGUCUCCCUCGUGGGCCCCAUCUGCCAGGCAACACUGGAGCAGUUGCUCUCUGCAGUGCCGAGCAGAAUCUUGUUUACUUUCCCCUCGUGUCAGCAAGGUGAUGUGUAGGGAAACCAAGCCCUGCUGUUGCCAGCCCCGAUUUCCAGGAGCUGCAAGGUGCAAGAGCAAAACCCAAGAGACACCUCUGCGAGGGCCAGGCAACGUGGCAUCCACCAGCACAGAUCCAAGGUGGAGUCUGGCCAAGAAGAG
rnacentral:lncRNA from 1 species